CAUAUAUGAAAAUGAUAUUUAAUGUAUUUUUGUUCGGGCUCUGUCGGUGGGUUCUGGGCCGUGUCAGCAAGUUCUGUUUGGGAAAAGUCGUGCCGAUGGGUUCUGGGCUGUACUAGUAGGUUUUGGGCCGUGCCAGUGGAUUCUAGACUGUGUUGAAACAUACUCCAUCUAUCUCCAGAUUCGGAUUGGUUGUGGUUUCACAGGCACAUACUCCUCCAACCGGCACAUCUGAGCCUCUAUCAGCAGCCACAUCGCUAGCCUAUGCAUCUCCAGCAUAGUCUCCACCCAUGGAUCUAGCUCAAAUACCGGCAUCCACGUCACAUGAUCCUGCUAGUGAGAGUGCACCAUCCAAUAGGAUAUUUCGUCGUCCCAUAUGCAUGCCUCAUGUAUGAAAUUGCCAGCAUCAGGUCAUGGUGUAGUACGAUCAGCAGGGGAGGCCAGUAGGGGAGGUCGCAUAGGAGAUGUAUUCUUUUUUCAGAGUGCUUGUGAGGCGGUCUGAUAUCAUUUUCGUUCGGCCCAUAGACUAGCGAGUGAUGGAUGUCGGUGUGAAGGACCGGGUGUGGGAGGAGAUUUAGAGGAGGUACGACUUCUCCAAUCAUGAGAGGGCUCGAGAUGUCUGCUUGCAGAAGAUUGGAGAGUUAUAUCGAAACUAUAAGGUCAAGCUCCACAGAGGAUGGCUAGAGCAUCAUAGGGACACUGAGAAGGAGCUUGUUUUUCAGAUCCAGGACUGUCCCCUGAGUCAGUGGGAGGGGAUGGUCAGGUAUUGGAGGAGCCAAGAGUUUCAGGAUGCAUCUCUUCAGAAUCGAGAGAGCCGGGCUGCUCAGCAAUACACGCAUACUCUCGACUUUGAAGAGAGAGGAGGUGAUGCCUAUCUGUAGCACUAUCUUUCGAUCGAGCCGUACAAACAAGAAAGGCAGGCCGAUGAACGAUGCGAUCGAAAGGAUUUUUGAGUAGUUAGAUGAGCUUGCGACCCAGGGCCCGGACACCUCUGGCCUCCAUGACCAUCUAUCUCAGAUCUUGCGGCCUGAGCACUUCGGAAGGAUUCGUUGCCUUCCUAGACAUAUGCCGACGGGCUACUGGUCUGAGGCGAGUGUUUCCUCACAUGCUUCCGAGAUCAUCAGUUAGGAGUAGCUUGACACGGUCUUGGCGUGUGCAUCUUAUGUUGCUGAGCGCGCAUCUCAGAUUGAGGAGUGUGCAUCUCUGGUUGAUGAGCGCAUAUCUUAGCUACAAAGUGUCAUUUUCUGCUAUGGUGGCACAGCUCUCUUCUCAGCUUAGAGUUGAUCUUUCGAGCAUUCAGGAGAUGAUCACCACCAUUUCAGCUCCAACCCCUCCAGCUCCUACUCCAGCUCCUGCACUUGCUCCUCUAGCUCCUGCUCCAGCCUCUCCUAGUGAUGAUGAGAUAUUUGGAGAGGAAGAUUUUGAUU